rnacentral:rRNA from 1 species
ACGCUGGCGGCAUGCCUUACACAUGCAAGUCGAACGGCAGCACGGAGCUUGCUCUGGUGGCGAGUGGCGAACGGGUGAGUAAUAUAUCGGAACGUACCCUAGAGUGGGGGAUAACGUAGCGAAAGUUACGCUAAUACCGCAUACGAUCUAAGGAUGAAAGUGGGGGAUCGCAAGACCUCAUGCUCGCGGAGCGGCCGAUAUCUGAUUAGCUAGUUGGUAGGGUAAAAGCCUACCAAGGCAUCGAUCAGUAGCUGGUCUGAGAGGACGACCAGCCACACUGGAACUGAGACACGGUCCAGACUCCUACGGGAGGCAGCAGUGGGGAAUUUUGGACAAUGGGCGAAAGCCUGAUCCAGCAAUGCCGCGUGAGUGAAGAAGGCCUUCGGGUUGUAAAGCUCUUUUGUCAGGGAAGAAACGGUGAGAGCUAAUAUCUCUUGCUAAUGACGGUACCUGAAGAAUAAGCACCGGCUAACUACGUGCCAGCAGCCGCGGUAAUACGUAGGGUGCAAGCGUUAAUCGGAAUUACUGGGCGUAAAGCGUGCGCAGGCGGUUUUGUAAGUCUGAUGUGAAAUCCCCGGGCUCAACCUGGGAAUUGCAUUGGAGACUGCAAGGCUAGAAUCUGGCAGAGGGGGGUAGAAUUCCACGUGUAGCAGUGAUAUGCGUAGAUAUGUGGAGGAACACCGAUGGCGAAGGCAGCCCCCUGGGUCAAGAUUGACGCUCAUGCACGAAAGCGUGGGGAGCAAAC